AUCUUCCGCAAUGGACGAAAGUCUGACGGAGCAACGCCGCGUGAGCGAUGAAGGCCUUCGGGUCGUAAAGCUCUGUUGUUAGGGAAGAACAAGUACCGUUCGAAUAGGGCGGUACCUUGACGGUACCUAACCAGAAAGCCACGGCUAACUACGUGCCAGCAGCCGCGGUAAUACGUAGGUGGCAAGCGUUGUCCGGAAUUAUUGGGCGUAAAGCGCGCGCAGGCGGUCUCUUAAGUCUGAUGUGAAAGCCCACGGCUCAACCGUGGAGGGCCAUUGGAAACUGGGGGACUUGAGUACUGGAGAGGAGAGUGGAAUUCCAUGUGUAGCGGUGAAAUGCGUAGAUAUAUGGAGGAACACCAGUGGCGAAGGCGGCUCUCUGGCCAGUAACUGACGCUGAGGCGCGAAAGCGUGGGGAGCAAACAG
rnacentral:rRNA from 1 species